rnacentral:lncRNA from 1 species
UACAUUUUUGUACAAUGCUCUACUUCUGCUUAUGGCGAUGAAAAAUAUUGAAAUUCACCAGGAAUUUGAUUGACAAGAGGCAGAACUUCCGAACUCGAGACGCUUUAAAGGUCUGGAUCCAUGCUGGUCGCAAAGCCACUAUGUUGGUUUUCUCAUGGCACGGCUCGGAUAUGAAAUUCGUUUUCAGGUGAUUACAGAAAGUUGCGACAGGGUUCAUGAGUCUCCUACUGACCAUUUUUCCCAAAAUCACAGGAAAGCUGUGAAUAUUAUGAAAUAUUUGUAAUGGCCUCCAAUAGGACACUUACAUUAUCAUGUAGUAAACCAGUAAAGACACAGACUGGUGAAUCAGGUUACUUAUUGGUUUGAGAUACCUGGCCAAGGGUGAUUUCUUAUCUGAAGUGGCAGAUUUACAUGGAGUUAGUAGGUCCAGUGCAUGCCAUAUCAUUGAUAGCUUUGUAGAAGCAGUAAAUGAUGGACUUGACAAUAUCAGAUUCCCAGGAGGUAUGGAUUUGGCUGAUGUGAAGCAGGCCUUCUUCAGGAAAUGCAAUAUUCCCAAUACAGUUGGUGCUGUAGACGGAACUUUAAUACCAAUCAUAGCUCCGUCACAAAAUGAAGAGGUCUAGGCUUGCAGAAAAAAACUACCAUGCAGUUAAUGUUCAAGCUGUGGUAGAUCACAGAGCAAGGUUUAUUGAUUUGGUACUAAAUGGCCAGGGUCGACACAUGAUGCAUCCAUCUUUGACAAUGUGGACUCGAGGACCAUUUAGAAAGACACAAACUUGGUCAACUCCUAGGUGAUUCUGGAUAUCCACUCAGAAAAUACCUCAUUAUGCCAGUAACAACUCCGACCACUGGGAAGGAAGUACAAUUCAACCAAGCUCAUUCAGUUGGCCGGAUGGUGGUUGAACGAGCAUUUGGAAUGCUAAAAUCUAGAUUCAGCUUUUUACUUUCUAUUUUUACUUAAUAUUAUAUCUGAAUUUAGCAAAGAUAAGUUUACUGCCUAGCAGAUGUCAGUCUGUCUGCAUCUUUUUCUAGACAAAAAUGUCUCUUAUAAGUAAAUUAAAAUCAGUACAGUUUUCAUUUAUCAUCACAUGAUGGGAUCAGAAAAGGUAAUAACAAGACCACCUUAGUCAACCUGUCACUAGGUAAAGGUCAAUGUCACGAU